rnacentral:rRNA from 1 species
UCUGGUUGAUCCUGCCAGUAGUUAUAUGCUUGUCUCAAAGAUUAAGCCAUGCAUGUCUAAGUACACACGAAUUAAAAGUGAAACCGCAAAAGGCUCAUUAUAUCAGUUAUGGUUCCUUAGAUCGUUAACAGUUACUUGGAUAACUGUGGUAAUUCUAGAGCUAAUACAUGCAAUUAAAACAUGAACCUUAUGGGACAUGUGCUUUUAUUAGGCUAAAACCAAGCGAUCGCAAGAUCGUUAUAUUGGUUGAACUCUAGAUAACAUGCAGAUCGUAUGGUCUUGUACCGACGACAGAUCUUUCAAAUGUCUGCCCUAUCAACUUUUGAUGGUAGUAUCUAGGACUACCAUGGUUGCAACGGGUAACGGGGAAUCAGGGUUCGAUUCCGGAGAGGGAGCCUGAGAAACGGCUACCACAUCUAAGGAAGGCAGCAGGCGCGUAAAUUACCACUCCCAGCUCGGGGAGGUAGUGACGAAAAAUAACAAUACAGGACUCAUAUCCGAGGCCCUGUAAUUGGAAUGAGUACACUUUAAAUCCUUUAACAAGGACCAAUUGGAGGGCAAGUCUGGUGCCAGCAGCCGCGGUAAUUCCAGCUCCAAUAGCGUAUAUUAAAGUUGUUGCGGUUAAAACGUUCGUAGUUGAACUUGUGCUUCAUACGGGUAGUACAACUUACAAUUGUGGUUAGUACUAUACCUUUAUGUAUGUAAGCGUAUUACCGGUGGAGUUCUUAUAUGUGAUUAAAUACUUGUAUUUUUUCAUAGUUCCUCCUAUUUAAAAACCUGCAUUAGUGCUCUUAAACGAGUGUUAUUGUGGGCCGGUACUAUUACUUUGAACAAAUUAGAGUGCUUAAAGCAGGCUUCAAAUGCCUGAAUAUUCUGUGCAUGGGAUAAUGAAAUAAGACCUCUGUUCUGCUUUCAUUGGUUUUCAGAUCAAGAGGUAAUGAUUAAUAGAAGCAGUUUGGGGGCAUUAGUAUUACGACGCGAGAGGUGAAAUUCUUGGACCGUCGUAAGACUAACUUAAGCGAAAGCAUUUGCCAAAGAUGUUUUCAUUAAUCAAGAACGAAAGUUAGAGGUUCGAAGGCGAUCAGAUACCGCCCUAGUUCUAACCAUAAACGAUGCCAGCUAGCAAUUGGGUGUAGCUACUUUUAUGGCUCUCUCAGUCGCUUCCCGGGAAACCAAAGCUUUUGGGCUCCGGGGGAAGUAUGGUUGCAAAGCUGAAACUUAAAGGAAUUGACGGAAGGGCACCACCAGGAGUGGAGCCUGCGGCUUAAUUUGACUCAACACGGGAAAACUUACCAGGUCCGAACAUAAGUGUGUAAGACAGAUUGAUAGCUCUUUCUCGAAUCUAUGGGUGGUGUGCAUGGCCGUUCUUAGUUCGUGGAGUGAUUUGUCUGGUUAAUUCCGAUAACGAACGAGACUCAAAUAUAUUAAAUAGAUAUCUUCAGGAUUAUGGUGCUGAAGCUUAUGUAGCCUUCAUUCAUGUUGGCAGUAAAAUGCUUAUUGUGUUUGAAUGUGUUUAUGUAAGUGGAGCCGUACCUGUUGGUUUGUCCCAUUAUAAGGACACUAGCUUCUUAAAUGGACAAAUUGCGUCUAGCAAUAAUGAGAUUGAGCAAUAACAGGUCUGUGAUGCCCUUAGAUGUCCUGGGCUGCACGCGCGCUACAAUGAAAGUAUCAACGUGUAUUUCCUAGACCGAGAGGUCCGGGUAAACCGCUGAACCACUUUCAUGCUUGGGAUUGUGAACUGAAACUGUUCACAUGAACUUGGAAUUCCCAGUAAGUGUGAGUCAUUAACUCGCAUUGAUUACGUCCCUGCCCUUUGUACACACCGCCGUCGCUACUACCGAUUGAAUUAUUUAGUGAGGUCUCCGGACGUGAUCACUGUGACGCCUUGCGUGUUACGGUUGUUUCGCAAAAGUUGACCGAACUUGAUUAUUUAGAGGAAGUAAAAGUCGUAACAAGGUUUCCGUAGGUGAACCUGCGGAAG